GUGAAGUACUAUGUUUAUUUUUAGAAGCUAUAUGAUGUUCUUAUGUUAGAUUGGUAUUGGAUUGCUACUAUUUGAAUCUGUUUCAGCUGAUAUUCUUAUAGUUUAACCAUUUUUUGGCUAUUCGUUUUAUAAUGAUACGGGUGCAGCAAUUCGUGGACUUCCGCUUUUCAGCAAGGAUACAUUAGAACAUAUUCCUAAGAUUGUUGACAUUCUUGCAUAACUUCUGAUAGCUGACUCAUGGCCUAAGAAAGCUAUUGGAGUGUCUUACAGGCCUUUGUAUCUGUAGGGAAGCAAGAAGGCAUUAAAGGCUAUUGGAAGGGUUAAUCUAUUUCAGAAUAUGAUAGUUUUAAUACCUGAGGCUAUUGAGAUGUUCGUUGCGUGUGGAUGUGAGACGAACGCCAGUGACGGUGUCAAAAUACUCACCGGUCUUCCACAUGACUGCUACAAGUAGG